UGCAGACUCUGUUCCGUCAGAAAGUUUAUUCGACCUGGGUAUAAAUAGCCCGGUGUUAAUAAAUGUUCAGUGGGACAGAGAGGAACAUACUUCGCCAAUAGCUUCAUCCUCUUCAUCAACUGGGAACCAGCCUGAGGCCAGCACUCGACGUCGAAGUGUGACAAACCCUCCAGCAUCAACCGCUGUGGUUGAUCAAUCUGUCUUGGGGACCAACAUUGAUGAUGAUACUUUGCCAGAAAUCCUGCCUGUUACUGCAGCUGCAAUGCUAGACUUUGAU